rnacentral:rRNA from 1 species
CCCUUAGAUGUUCUGGGCGGCCCGCGCACUACAUUGGCACUCUCAAUAAGUUCCUAGAUCUAAAACUUUGGGGUAUUCUAUUAAGUGGUGUCGUGACUGGGAUUAACCCUUGCAAUUAUUGGUUACGAACGAGGAAUUCCUUGUAAUCGCGGUUUAUCAGCCCGCGUUGAAUGCGUCCCUGCCCUUUGUACACACCGCCCGUCGCUCCUACCGAUGAAUCGUCCGGUGAAGUUCAUGGAGUGGUGGUUGUUCCAGCUGCUGUCGAAGUGAAAUGGACCUCACGAUUUAGAGGAAGGAGGAGUCGUAACA